rnacentral:rRNA from 1 species
CAUUUGUUCUUUAAAUAAGGACUUGUAUGAAUGGCCACACGAGGGUUUUACUGUCUCUUACUUCCAAUCAGUGAAAUUGACCUUCCCGUGAAGAGGCGGGAAUAAACAAAUAAGACGAGAAGACCCUAUGGAGCUUUAACUAACUAGUUCAAAGAAAAGAAACUUAACCACCAAGGGAUAAUACUAUUCUUCAUGAGCUAGCAGUUUUGGUUGGGGUGACCUCGGAGAACAAAAAAUCCUCCGAGCGAUUUUAAAAAUAAGACACACAAGUCAAAUUGAACUAUCGCUUAUUGAUCCAAAAUUUGAUCAACGGAACAAGUUACCCUAGGGAUAACAGCGCA